UGACCUUGAGCGAUCUUCCCGCCUCGGCCUCUCAGAGUGCUGGGAUUACAGGCGUAAGCCACCGUGCCCAGCCUGUCUUGAAACUUUAAAACCUGUCCCUUUGCUGUUUUCUCCCCAGUUGCCCAGCCCACGCGGUUGUCAAAGUGACACGGCGCAAGAGUACCAGGCCUGCGCAGCCUGGAGCCGCUGGGGGGGGGGGCACCAGCUCCUCCGAUUUGCCGAGUAUGAGCAUCUGCCCUCAAUUUUGCAGCUGUGCUCAGUCUUGGUAUGACCUACCCGGGGGGCCACUUCCACGGGGGCUGUGCCCCCCACCCUUGAAGAGGAAACAGAGGUACGAGGAUGUUGUUCUGGGCUUGGGUUUCUGCCACCUUUAAAACGAGAGACAAAAAUCUCCGGAUUUGCUGAGCCCUGGCACGGGGCAGUGCCAGGGUGGCAUGGUUUACUAAGCUACACAGGCCACGUAUUUCCAAGGAGUGGCUAAGUGUGGCCUAAAUGUAUGUCCUAACGUUGUGGUUGCUUUUUUCAGAGUUGGUUUCAAGUUAAAAAGGAAGUUUAAUGUGCAUUUUUACGAAAUGGCUCGAGGCAAGUGCAGAAUAAGACGCAGGGUGCGAAUCCAUUGGGAUCUUCCGGGAGUGACUGGCUCCAGAGGGAGACCGAGACUGGAGGCUGCUAAGUGACUGGGCAACGUGGGAGGAGAACUUCAGAGAGGCCCUCACCCUCUGCCAGAGUGAGACCCAGACGCCAUUUGUGCACGUCUGUCUGCAUUCGCUCACCUGUUCCAUGCGGGCAGACAGCACGGGACACGGGCCAGGCCUCCCCGUGUGCUGGGAACAGAACCGUGAACAGACCGGAUUACGUGGACUAAAUAAACAGAAGAGAAAAGCCCCCAUCAUCCUGCCCCUUCCUGUGAGUCCGGUACAUAUUUUCCCAGGUUCCUCACUGCAGCUGAAACAUCUGUACACAGGUAAUACACAAGUAACACCCUAAUCACGGUUUUGCCGCCGAAAUGUGAACAUGCUGUGUGUCUCAGUAUGACUCGGGCUGCCACAGCCAACUCCACCGUCUGGGCGGCUGGGAAGUCUGAGAUCGAGGUCUGGCACCCCCGUCUCGGGUGAGGGGGUGGGACACGCCGGUCUCGGGUGAGGGGCCGUGGCAGCCUGUCUCUUACUGGCUGCAGACGGCCGCCUUCUUGCUGUGUCCUCACGUGGCGGAGACAGCGUUCUCUGGUCUCUUCCUCUCCUUGUGACACAGCCCUAUUCAGUCCGGGCUCCACCCUUAUGUCCCUUCAGCCUCUCCAGACAGUCACAGCGGGGGUGGGGGCCUUCACAUAGGCAUCUGGGGGACACGGUUGAGGCCACAGCACUGUGCACCCUGUUCACUCGGUGCGUCUGCAUCCCUCUCCCUGGCAGCGCAAAGCCGCCCCUCCACCACUGCGGGGUGAAACCUGACAGCUGUGUCCCUGGCGGGUGGGCAUCUGCUGUCACCCACGCAGACCCAGCGACGUGUGUCUGGGCCGUCUCUUCCUGGAGGCAGGACUCUGUUUCAGUUACUAGGUAGCGCGAGACACUCCCACGCCUGUUCUGUGGGACGUUCUGCAGGCAGCACCUCUGAAUCCAGUGGCCCCGAGUAUCCACCAGCUCCAGCAACACCGGAGGUGAGCAGCCGCUGUGACACCACUCUGGUUGGAGGAUGGUAAAUCCUGGGAGGCUUCCUGGAGGAGGUGGCUUUCAAAGUAUCAGUAAUAGGGAGACGUGUGCCAAGGAGGAGGAACCGUGGAAAACAGGACUUGGAGCAGACAACCCGCCAGUUUCAAUGUGUGCACAUACUUGGUUCUUCUGUCCCUGCCCGGAAGACUUCAGCCCCGAGGAAGGGCCGCGGGCCGCGCCGCACUCACUCCACACUCAGGACCCGGACACGCCUGUCACAACCGGCAUCUCCUUACUGCAACUCCAGACUUAGUUCCCAAGUGUAGCUGCGGUUCCCUAAAACCACCCAGCACGGGCGAGACCGGGACACCUGGACUGGUGCAGCCUCCGCUGGGGGAGGCCUUGACCAUCUCAGGGAAAGUCUCAACUGCCCCUCGCAGCAGAGGGUCAGUCUCCGCGCCCCAGGACAGGGUCUCACUGCCCACGGCGCUGCCCCCCCCAAGGCUCAUCCCCACUCCCGCCGAGGUGCUGCCCCCCGCCCCUUCCACAGAGCCCCCCCAGGCCCUGUCCCUGGAGAAUCCAGCUUCCAGCCUCCCACACCCACGUCCGGCGAGGAGGAGACAGGCACAGGCCUGCAGCCGUUCAGGAUCGUGACUCUGGGGACGCCUGGGUCAAACCACGGCCCGGCCCUGGGCCUCCUGCAGUGCCGGUCUCACCCCUAUGGCCCCGGCGGGGAAGGGAGGGUGGGGCUCGCAGAGUCAGGGGGCACCACCCUGGUUGGCAUUCUGUCUGGCAGCGCCCAGGCGGAAACCGGGAGCCGCCGCACCGAGGCAGGCUGAGGAUGGGCGCGGAGGACGCUGCUCUGGGGCCCAGGCCUGCAGCAGGGUCUCCACAAGGCCAGGUCCCCGGUCCUUUCCCCCGUGGGGCUGGGCAGCCCCAAGGCAGGCGAAGGCUCCUAGUGGGCCCGAGACCACCCCGGGCACAGCCCGCACGGGGCAGGGGAAGGCGCUGACCAGCACCAACCGCUUCCCAUUUCUCACAUAGUUCCAAAGGCCACAGAAGUGGGGCCAGUCGCGAGCAUCUACAAAGACCCCCCACACCUCCCAGGCUGCGGCUGCUCGCAGGGGCCGCGGCCAAGCCUGGGUGCUGCGGCCCAGGUCGCCGCUACAGGGAGGGGCUGCCAGUUGGCUGCAGCCGUUUUUCUAACUAGGGGGAAGGUUUUUACUCAGCAACACCUGGAGCUGCUGAAGUCACCCAGGUGGGUCCCCGUGACGCAAGCCUGACACGCUGCCAGGCCAUGGGCGGGUGAGCUCACCGGGCAGCCAGACGCGCACGCCCCGAGCUGCAGCAACAUGCCUCGCGCCCACACCGCUCCUCGCGGGUGUGUCCUGCCUCCAGCAUGUCGCUGGCCCCCAAAACCACCGCAGACAGGAGAGGGGAGCCCCCCACGCAAUGCCACCUCCCUCGCCGAGGUCUUGCUUUAGAAUCUCUUCCUGCCUCUGGGACCAGGUUAAACCGGCCGUUCCCUGCAAAGGCUGAGUCCACAGGAGACUCGCGGGCAAGACGUUAAAGAGCACAGUUCUGCAACGGGCGUGGGCUCCCACUGCGGCCCACGUGCCCCACCCGUGGCCCUGGCACCCGCGCAGGGGCUUCACCUGCUCCUCAGUUAAGCAAGCAUGGGGACAAAUGCCUGCGCCGUGGGCUGCGGGUUAGGUUAGGGCGGCCACCAUCUCCCCACAAGAGUGCAAGGUGAGAAACUUGCCAGGAUGCCGAUUUAUCAGAGCAAGCGGCUUGGGUGACACAAACCCAAGGUGAUCCUAAAGUUGCUCACGUUUUGGCGAGGACGCAACGGUCUGAGAACUCCGGAAGCUGCACCGAGGCUCAGAUCUCGGGGCCUGGCCCGCUGGGCUCCCAGCCCCAGGGCUGUGCUGCAGCCUGUCCAGAGGGCAGCCGUGCCGUGCCGUGCUGUGCCGCUGGCCACCCUGAGUUCAGAGCUGGGGAUGCCACAGGGAGAAGGGAGAGGAGAGGGAGGUGCCGCGUGGGAAAGCGCCGCGGAGCCUGGCUGGGCCCCCCAGGGCCGA